rnacentral:rRNA from 1 species
UGGGGAAUAUUGCACAAUGGGCGGAAGCCUGAUGCAGCGACGCCGCGUGAGGGAUGACGGCCUUCGGGUUGUAAACCUCUUUCAGUAGGGACGAAGCGUAAGUGACGGUACCUGCAGAAGAAGCACCGGCUAACUACGUGCCAGCAGCCGCGGUAAUACGUAGGGUGCGAGCGUUGUCCGGAAUUACUGGGCGUAAAGAGCUCGUAGGCGGUUUGUCACGUCGUCUGUGAAAUCCUAGGGCUUAACCCUGGACGUGCAGGCGAUACGGGCUGACUUGAGUACUACAGGGGAGACUGGAAUUUCUGGUGUAGCGGUGGAAUGCACAGAUAUCAGGAAGAACACCGAUGGCGAAGGCAGGUCUCUGGGUAGUAACUGACGCUGGGGAGCGAAAGCAUGGGUAGCGAACAGG